rnacentral:lncRNA from 1 species
GGGUCAUUGGAGAUGUAAUCAGUUAAGAUGAGGUCAUUAGAGCAGGCUCCUAAUCCAAUAUGACUGAUGUCCUUACAAGAAGGAGCAAUUUGGACACAGACAACACACAGGGAGAAUGCCAUGUGAAGAUGAAGGCAGAGAUCAGGGUGAUGCUUCUACAAGCCGAGGAAAGCGAAAGAUGGCCAGCAAACUAGGAGAGAGGCAAAGCUAGGAAAGGAGCCUGGAGCAGAUUCUCCUUCACAGCCUCAGAAGGCACCAACCCUGUCAACCCCUUGAUCUUGGACUUCUAACCUCCAGAACUGGUCAUUAUUUCAACAUCAUGGGACACAUGAGAUUCCUGCCCCAGCAGGGAUCUUCAUCCUGGAGAGCCCCUUUUUCUGCCUUGCCCAGGAAUCUGUGAUUCCUCUGUUCACAUCAUGGUGAAGAAAACAGCUACGGAAAAGCUGUCUGUGCUGGAAGGACAUUCAAUCUUCAUGGAAGCCCACCCAGUGGACUACCCUUCCUGCUCUGGAGGCCUCUAAAAGCCAAUACUCUAUGGAUGCAUGCCCAGCAGAUGCCAAGUGGGUUCGUGUAACCUAUAGCAUUGAAUUCUCCCAAGACCCUGAAAGAUCAGUAUUACUAUCCCCACAUCAUACAGAUGCAAAACUAAGGACUGGUCCACCAAGGGAUGUGCCUAAUGUCACAAACCAAAUAAAUGGCACAGCUGUGAAUUUGACCUCAGCCUGUCUAACUCCAGGGCUUCCUACCAAUCUCCAGCCACCUGACGCAUUUUUCAAAGUCUUUAAAAUAAAAGACCACUAUAUGUGACGUGUAUCCUGGAUUGGAUCCUGGAACAGAAAAAAAAAAUAUUCAUUUAAAAAGAUGGCGAAAUUCAAAUAAAUUCUGUAGUUUAGUGAAUAGUAAGCUAGCAACAUUGGUUCCUCAGCUGUGACCGACGUCUCACAGUCAUGGAAGAUGUUAGCAUUAGGUGAAGCUGUUGAAGGGUGCAUGGAAACUCAGUGGACUCUCUUCACAUCUUUUCUGUGAAGCUACAAUUAUUCCAAAAUUUAAAAAGAAGAAAGUAAAGCCAAUCAGUCAAGGACAUAAAUCAAGAAAACAUUCCAACCUUGGCCGAGGUCUCCAGGGAUCAGGGAGAUGACUGCUCUGUUCACAAGGUAAACAAUCUCAGUGGUUUCUGCCCACGAUGUGGAAUCACUCAGUGUCAAAGUCCUCCCUCUUCCAGCUCUCUUUUGAUCAUUCUGAGUUCCCCCAGGAGUGAGUCUCAGCUUGAUGCCAGCCCAUCUUUACCACCAUCUCAGACUUGCUGACUUUCCUUUCUAACAAGGGUGAGUAAACCACAGGCUGGGAGCCUGCAAUCUGUGACAGUCUUGGUUGAAUUUAAUCACUGAAUUAGUUUUGUUGUGUGCAUUUUUACUUUCUACUUGUGGCAAGUUGUGCUAGUUUCUAUGUAUGACUGCAAUAUUAAUUUUUCUAUUUAAGCAAAUUUUCUUUUCCUAACAUGAAUUGAUUUAAGGAUAGGCCUUGAGCAAAUAACGUACAAAAGAGAGGGGAAUUUAGUCCUAAUCAUGAAAAUGGUUUGGGAGUAAAUAAAAUUUGAGAAACUGAGCGCUAAUGGAGAGCUGGUUUCCCAAAGAGAAAGGGCACCUUGGCUUUGCACCCCUGUGGGAACACCUGAGCACUGAUGUGGUGACUCAGUGGGGUAGGAUACGUGUUCCUGGCUGGUUCUGAAGGGGAGACUAGAAAAUGGGGAGGAAGCAGACCAUGUGACCUCAGCUCUGCUUGAACAAGGUUCCUGUCUCUCCUGUCCAUCCUGGCUUCUCCAUCCCUGGAACACAGCCUGGCACACAGAAGAUUCCCAGUAAGUAUUUAUUGACUAAACAAAUGCAAGGGAGAAUGACUAUACAUAAAACUUUCGAGCCAGUUCUAUCAUUUCCAAUAUGAACAUCAAAGUAUUGCCCAAAAUAGAAGGGUCUUCUGGGGGCAUCCAGGGCAACCUCAUCAUUGCACAAAUGGGCAGUGGAAGCCCAACAGGAAGAAGGUAUUUGCUCCAGCCACACAGUCAGUGUCUGGGAAAAGCAGGGCCAAGAACUAGGACUUCCCUUCUGUGAUCAUUCUUGCCAACACACCAGUCUGUCACUUCUGUUAUGCGCCCACAUGAAUGACCUCAGCCCAGGCAGGCAGUGCUGCAGGCAGAGUGGGGGCAGACAGCAAACCAGACUCCUGGCACCCAGCCUAUGCUGGAAGAGGUAGAAAGUCCCCUGCUCGGAGGCUGCACAGAGGUUUUCUGUAUCGUGUAGGUCAAACUGGACCACACCAAGGCAGCCUGUCUCUCCUGGGCCUCUGACACUGGGCACCCUCAUUCUUGGUUAGGGUGAAUCCUUCCUUUAUGCAUCAAGUCCACCUUUGCUGUAGGGAAAAGAAAGAGAGAUCAGACUGUUGCUGUGUCUAUGUAGAAAGGGAAGACAUAAGAAACUCCAUUUUGACCUGUACCCUGAACAAUUGCUUUGCCCUGAGAUGCUGUUAAUCUGUAACUUUGCCCCAGCCUUGAGCUCACAAAAACAUGUGUUGUAUGGAAUCAAGGUUUAAGGGAUCUAGGGCUGUGCAGGAUGUGCCUUGUUAACAAAAUGUUUACAGGCAGUGUGCUUGGUAAAAGUCAUCGCCAUUCUCCAGUCUCGAUAAACCAGGGGCACAAUGCACUGCAGAAAGCUGCAGGGACCUCUGCUCUGGAAAGCCAGGUAUUGUCCAAGGUUUCUCCCCAUGUGAUAGCCUGAGAUAUGGCCUCAUGGGAUGGGAAAGACCUGACUGUCCCCCAGCCCAACACCCAUGAAGGGUCUGUGCUGAGGAGGAUUAGUAAAAGAGGAAGGCCUCUUGCAGUUGAGAUAGAGGAAGGCCUGUUUCUCCUGCCCGCUCCUGGCAGGAGAAACUCGGUAUAAAACUCGGUAUAAAACUCAAUUGUACAUUUGUUCAAUUCUAAGAUAAGAGAAAAACUGCCCUGCGGUAGGAGGCGAGACAUGUUGGCAGCAAUGCUGCUUUAUUAUUCUUUACUCCACUGAGAUGUUUGGUGGACAGAAACAUAAAUCUGGCCUACGUGCACAUCCAGGCAUAGUACCUUCCCUUGAACUUAUUUGUGACACAGAUUCCUUUGCUCACAUGUUCUCUUGCUGACCUUCUCCCCACUAUCGCCCUGCUCUCCUACUGCAUUCCUCUUGCUGACAUAGUGAAAAUAGUAAUCAAUAAAUACUGAGGGAACUCAGAGACCAGUGUCGGUGCAGGUCCUCCGUAUGCUGAGCGCCGGUCCCCUGGGCCCACUUUUCUUUCUCUAUAUUUUCUCUCUGUGUCUUAUUUCUUUUCUCAGUCUCUCAUGCCACCUGACGAGAAUUACCCACAAGUGUGGAGGGGCUGGCCCUCUUCAUUUGCAUGGGCAUUUCCCAGGCUAAAGCCUCCAGAGGACUGUGCAGCAGAGAUCUCAGAGAGGCGAACCAUAAAACCCACUGUCUCAGCCUCCCGGGAGGCUGGCUGUGACCCCUGCCAGCGCCACUGGCACCGCUAGUCACCCUUACCCACUCCACUUAAUGUCUCUUCUCUUCUCUCCUCUCCUUUCUUUUUUAACGGAGUCUUGUUCUGUCACCCAGGCUGGAGCGCAGUGGUGCCAUCUUGGCUCACUGCAACCUCUGCCUCCUAGGUUCAAGUGAUUCUCCUGCCUCAGCCUCCCAAUUAGCUGGGAUUACAGGUGCAUGCCACCAUGCCUGGCUAAUUUCUGUAUUUUUAGUAAAGACGGGGUUUCCCCAUAUUGGCCAGGCUGGUAUGUCCUUAUUUCUUGAUCACACCUAUUGUUAAUUUCCUGCCUCUCCCGAGUAACACGAGACCUCUGCAAGGGCAAGGAUCUUUCUAUAUUUUAUUCACAAAACCCUAAAACCCCUCUUUGUCCCCGCAUGGAGAGGACACUCAGUGAAUAUUUGUUGAAUGGAUGGAUGAACUGAUGGGAUAAAUAAAAGCCACAAGUGUUCGGGGGAUUUGUAUUUGCUCCUACCUCUGUGGCAGUCUAGCUGUGGGACCUUGUGCAAUUGAUGUGAUCUUCCUAAGCCUCCGUUUUCUCAUCAGUAAAAUGGGAUGGUCACACCAACCGGAAGGGUUGUGGGCCAGUGAGAUGGGGAAAGCACUUGUGUCGUGUCAGGCUUUGAUAGGCAUCUAGGAAGUGUCGGUUAUGUCAAAAUCAAAAUCCAGUCAUUCAUACACUCAUUUAUUCACAAGGUUGGUCAGCCCACAAAUAUGUGACCUGGGAAGGCUUCUGAGAAGGAGAAGGGGUGAACCCUCUCUGAAAGACUGAGUAACAUGCUGGAAGGAAGUCGUGGGAGUGGGAGAGGAUGAGGAGCAAGGAGAGCAUCCAGGCAGGGUGGGAAGAUGUAGGGAGGUGGCACACAGACCUACAAGAAGGAGCAGGCAUGGUCACAUCCUAGUGGGCAGGCCUGCGGGACUAAGGCAUGUGACUCCCCUCCCAGAGGAGAGGGGAGCUUUGGAGGGGGCUGACCGUGUCUGGACAAGGAUGAUUAGCAGGGCAGUUUUUCUUUCCAGCAAAUACGUGUUGGGUGUGUGCUCUGUGGCAGGUACCGGCCUGGGUAUGGGGGAUACAAGGACACAAGUCUGCAGGCAGAGGGACAUAAAACACAUGGGCUUUCCUGAGUCACUCUCAAACUGCACACCUGCUGAAGCCCGCCAGAGUUCUUCAAUUAAAGACCAGCAUCCCUCUGUGGCCCAUGAGUUCCCACCUACCUCUUGGCCCCGCUCCCACCCCUUCUUGCUUACUGAUCUCAUUUCAGCUCCUCACCCGUGCCACUCCUGACCUCAGGACCUUUGCACAUGCUGUUCUCGCUGCUUGGUGGGGCCUCCCUGGGCUCCCACCCUCAUUUCUUCCUCUUUUUUUUUUCUUUUUCAAAAUAGAAUUUAUUUGUGCAGUGAAUAAUACAAAUGUGGCUAUGAAAGCAGAACAUGAUAUUUAAAAAUAUUUAAGGUAUGCAACAGUCAUUUUAAAAACAGAAUUAGUUAAAAGGAAGAUGAAUAAAGAACUCGAGCUUAUGCCUGAUUUCUAUUGGUAUACUUAGAAAUACCAAUCAGUAUUUAACAUAUUAUUAACUAUGCUGGAAAAAACACCUCUAUAUGCAGUUUUAAUUCCUAACUACAGUUUAAAAACAGAUGAGUUCCCAGCAUUUGGAGCUCCUCCUAAAUAUUACAUCCUGGGGAAGCCUUUCUUGGGCCCCCGGACUGGACGCGACCUGUGACAUGCGACCCCCGGACUGGACACGACCCUUCUGUGACACCCUUUGCAAGCUCUGCGAUGUCUCCUUCACUGUGCCCACUGCAGCUCAUGACAAACAUGUGUUUAUUGGAUUCAUGGUGGCUUCCCUCACUGAUUAUUAACCCCAGGAAGGCAGAAACCGGUCUACAUAUAUCAACAAUGAGCUCAGAGAUUGCAGCCCAGAAGUCAUCAUUUAAUGGAGGACUGACUGCAGCCCACAGGGGGCUGGAGGGAACAUUCAGACCCACCUGCCAUCGCCAUGCAUGGAUGUAAGGGUUUUGGAAGGCUGCUUGGAAGAGGCUGCUUGGGAGAUGUUGGAAAGGUAGAGAAGAGUUCAUAAAGAGGUCCUAGUGGCCUGGGUAUUAAAGGGUGAGGAAGAGUUUGUUAGGCUGGAGGAGGGAAUUCCCAUUAGAGGAGAUGGUAGAAGCACUGGAGGGGGCUGGUGGAGGACCGCAGCAGGGGCUCUCUACUGCAUGCCCACGUGCCAGGCACAAUGGCCAUGCAAGCUCACGUGAUCCUCAGAGGUAGAUAGGUAGAUAGAGGGUAUUAGUCUCUAGCUUAGCCGCUGGAGGUAGAUAUUAUGAUCCUCUCUCAAUAAAUGAAGCGGCUAAGGCUCAGAAAGGUUUAGUGAUAUGCCCAGGUCACCUGGCCACUCGGUGGCUUUCCUGGCAGUGUCACUUCCCCAGUGUCAUAUGUUGCGCACCUGAGACCGUAGCUAAGGGUUUCUGUGUCUUUCUAUACCCACCCCUCAGGCUGGGGCAGGGGAAAUGAUGUCGGCAAAGGGCUCGGCCGGGAUUCCCAGCCUUUUUCCCACGUCUGUGUCCCUGUGCGGGGUCUCAACCUUCUCCCUCACCCCCACCCUCUCGAAAAGGGGCUGCGCACCCUGGGCUCCUGGGCUCAGCCCUCACCACCGUCCACUUGCCCUGCCCCUCCCCCAUCACCCGCAGGCAGCCUUCUCCACCAGCCUUUGGGGACUCUUGCCUUCCUGCCCCAAACCAGAAGAUGGGGCACUUGCUGCAUGUGGCUAACCCUGAGGCCACGAGAAAGCCACGUCACCUCUCUGAGCCUCAGUUUCCAUGUCUGUUAUAGGGACGCCCACUCUGGCUGCUCUGAGAGCACCUGUGACCAGAACACAAAGGACACCAUGAGCUGCAAACUGCUAAACACGCCCGGGAAAUGAUAAGUAGUGCCAGUCGAGGCUCCUCAGUGCCAAGCCAGCCAGUAUCCUCUCCUCUCCAAACACCGAAAGCCCUGGGAAUUCCCUGGAGGAGAGGAAGGAACCAGAUGCCUGAAAUGAGCUUGCCCCAGGCCGGGAAGCUGUGCGCGGCCCUGCGAGCACCUGGUGCCCUCUAGUGGCCACAGGCGGCCCUGCAGGGCCACAUUUUCUGGGGAGGGCGCAGAGACCCCACUCACUCUUCAAUUGAACUUGCUAACAGGUUUAAACUGCAGGAUCUGCCUUUGACAACAAGAUAAGGAGGGGACAGGGGAGGGAGGGUGCCAGGAUGUUCUUUUUGUGCCAGAAAUGGACAAAGCUGGCGGCUACUAAUAGACUUCGUCCUUCUAAUGCUGCCCGAGGGGCUGGACUGGCCCCGUCCCUGUUUCCCCAUCCGCCUGGAUUCCUGGCUGAGCCCAGAGCUCCCACGUGGACACUCUGGGGCGGAUCAUUGGCCAAGGACUCACAGAGUUGGGACCGACUUUGUUAAAGCACUGAACUAGCUUCCUUGGAGCCCCAAAGGGAGGGGCGGGACCUUCACUUCAGAAAUAAGAAGACAGACUCAGAGAGGGUUUGUGGCUUUCCCAAAGAUACCUCAUUCCAGGAUUUGAACCCCAGUCUCUCACUCGAGACCCCAGGUACUUGCUGUGGCCCAUACCUUCCCCAAAUUAUCCACCAACAGCCAGUCAACCUGGGGCAGGGCUGUGGGGGAGAAACAUUUGUUUACUAAAUCACAGAGUCCCUCUGCCCGCUGGAGGGGAGAGGAGAAUGCCACCAAGUGGGCGGGGGUGGGGCAUUGCAUCCCAGCAUUUGAAUGGGCAGGGAGGAAAUGGGGCACAGGACUUCUAGAACUUGCAGUUUUGCUCAUUCGGGCUGUCUAGGGAGGUGGUGACAGGGAGAGACUAAACUGAAAUGUGCCUGUGACUUCCAUCUCAGGAAGAUGGAACAUGUUCAACCCCAAGCCAUGUUCGGGGUCUGUGGCAAGCAGGAAUUCUCCUUUAUUUUCCAAUAGGGUUAACAAUCUUUCCCAGGAAGAGCACGGAAGGUAUUUUCUCGCUGUAAAUCAGCAGCAGAUAGGGUUUGUCUAUCUUGACGACGAGUGGUGUCUCCAUGGGCAGAGUCUGUGCUCCGGUGCCAGCGGCCCCUUCCGUACCCCUCUCAUCCAUCUUCAGCUCAGCCUUGUGCACAGCCUACGGAAGCCAAGGGCAAAGUCAAGGUCUGCCAAGCUCCUUGGCGACCACAGUGGGCCGGAGGCCCAGAGAGGAUCAGAGAGGAAGACCACUUGGCCCAAGCCAUCCAGCACAGCAGUAACUUGGUUUACUCCAGGGUUCCUGGCUCUUUCGCCAUUAAUGCUGGAGAAUAUUCGACAAGCAGAUGCCGUGUGAAGGAAAAGAUGGUGCAGGGGGAGCAUCAGUUACGGGAGUCGGUGGGGGGAGAGAUGGAGUGGGGUUUGCUUCUCUUUCUCAUGGGUUACAGGGAAGCAUCAACCAUAGCCGUGGCAGAAAGGUCUACUGGGCUGUAGCUGGGUGAAAGUGAGGUGGUGGUACCCCCACCCUGAAGCCUCCAGCACCUCCUUUCAUCCACCUGGUGGAUGGUUAAGAGGGAGAAGGAUUCUGGAUUAGCUCUUUGAGAUGACUUGCAUCCCAAAUCCACUCCAAAGGCAUCAACGUCUGUAAACAGAAAACAGGACAGUAUCCUGUGUUACAAUCACAGCUAUCAGCAAACGUAACUACAGAAAGAAAUGAGCCAUUAAACUCAACAAGACCUUCAGAGCUGGUGUUAAAUGUUUGUGGGAAGUCUGUGGCAGGAAAGCUCAAAAGUGAGAAAAUUCUAGUAACUAUGUUUCUUAUGUCAACGUGAAAAAUACAGUGGAAUCUGUGCCAUCUGAUUCAGAGCAGCGGGCUCAGCUUGGCAAGCUGGAUCCUUCCCAGACUGGCUUGAACCUCCCACUUUAUCUCCACUAAGCACCCAAUCCCCACCACCCACUACUCCAUGAUAUCCAAAAACCCCCAGCCUUGGCCACACUGCUGCACCCAUCCCCGCACCCAUCUCUGCUUGUUGAAAUCUUUCCCCUCCUUCAAUGCCUUUUUAACCCCAAAGUAGGGUUGCCAGGUGAAAUACAGGACAUCCACUGAAAUUUGAAUUCAAGAUAAACAAUGAAUAUGUUUUAGUGUAAGUGUGUCCCGUGAAAUAUUCUGAACAUACUGGCACUAAAAAUAUUAUUCAUCAUUUAUCUAAAAUUCAAAUUUAAUUGGGUAUCCUGUAUGAAAUCUGCUAAAUCCGGUGACUCUACCUAUAUGGUGCUCUCUUCUUGCCCCAGACAGUCAGGUGCUCACCUUUGCCAGGGGCCACAGGCCCCUUUGCUUGGUCAUCUCUUCCUAUGCAGCAUAUGCUUAUGCCAACUCAUAUGAAACAUGUGGCCUUGGGCGCGGUGGCUCACGCCUGUAAUCCCAGCACUUUGGGAGGCCAAGGUGGGUGGAUGACCUGAGGUCAGGAGUUUGAGACCAGCCUGGCCAACAUGGUGAAACCCUGUCUCUACUAAAAAUACAAAAAAAUUAGCCGGGCAUGGUGGCGGGCGCCUGUAAUCCCAGCUACUCGGGAGGCUGAGGCAGGAGAAUUGCUUGAACCUGGGAGGUGGAGGUUGCAGUGAGCUGAGAUCGCACCACUGUACUCCAGCCUGGGUGACAGUGCAAGACUCCUUCAAAAAACAAAAUAAAAGAAAGAAAGGAAGGAAGGAAGGAAGAGAGAGAGAGAGAGAGAAAGAAAGAAAGAAAGAAAAAAAGAGAGAGAGAGACAGAGAAAGAAAAAGAAAGAAAGAGAGAAAGAGAGAGAGAAAGAGGAAAGAAAGAGAGAGAGAAAGAGAGAAAGAAAGAGAAAGAAAGAAAGAAAAGAAAGAAAGAAAGACGGAUGUGGCCUUUGAGAGAGGGUCUGGGUUAGACCUAGACCAGUUCUAGGCCUGAUAACUGUUCCAGGCCUUGAUCAACGUUUGCUACAUUGAAUUGAUUUCCAAAAUAGCAGCAGUUUUAAAGACUGGAAGCAUGAGGCUGGGGGAGGUUAUGUGGUUUGCCCAGGAUCACGGGGUUGGUAAGGGGCACAGCUGCAUUCAUGCCCGCCCCGACUGGUGGGUGGAGUCUCGGCUCUGACAGCCACUGUGACCCUGGCUCUGGCCCCGGCUGGGGGAAGGCCCCUGUGCUGCAGGGAGUGGAGUCCAGGCUAGGCAGGCUUACCUCGCCCACUUUCAGGCUGCGAUGAGGGGCGAUCUUGGUGAGAUCACCAUGUUCCUCAAAGAUUUUGGAGACACCUAUGUAGGAGAGAGUCUUCUUCAGGUCGAAGGUGCCCGUCAUGUGGAGUCUGGGUACAGACACGUCUACGACCCUGGGGAAUUGACACGACAAGGGUGAGUGGUCAAGUCCUGUUGUGUUGCAGGGCAAGCCUCAGGAUACAUGACCAAUGAAACAUGUGUCCUCCCAGCCCCAAAGGUCUCCAAUCUCUCUCCAUCCACAGAAUGAGGAGGGGCUCCUUAACCCUGGGACCCUGGUUUCAAAACACCAUAAGCUCUCUGAACCGUGUCCCUGCCUCCCAGCACACCUGCCCCAGAGCCCUCUACAGGGAGUGUUCUCAAGUCUCAAGUUCCCCCGUCUCAGAGCCCCUUCAGCCACAGUCACUGAUGAUGUCCACACUGUAGUCGCUGCCAUGCCUGAGCCCUGAGCCCAUCCUGACCCCAGAAGACCUGACACUGGAGGGAACAAGGCACCCAGAAUCUGGAGGUAGACAGAACUGAGUUCAAAUCCACUCUGCCUCUCAUGAGCUCUGUGACCUUCCCUCUCUAAGUCACUUGUGUGAGAAGGAAAAUGAUCACCGUCGCUCCUGCGGGACACUAGGGGUGCUAAGGCAAAUGCAGACAAGGCACUCAGCAGACAGUUGGUGCGUAGCAGGUGCCCAUCCUCCUGCCCUCCAACUAGCAGCUUCACAUCCUCUGUGGCUGAACCGCGAUCAGCCUCCUGCCCGGAGCCUGGGGCCCAGGCUCUCCUGAGGUACCUGCAGACCCUGGAUUCCCGUUCACCUGGCCUUGCACCCUAUUUUCCCACCUACCCAAGGAUCUCAUUCCUGCCUAUGUGUCCUCUCUCUCCUGCAUCAUCCUUAAACAGUGCCCCUUUGAUCCUCCUCUGGAGGAGGCCUCAUGCUAGAGUGACCCUAUCCUCAAAAACUAACACCAAGAGAUCUCUCUUGGCCCUGAAUAGCCUCUCCAGCUUCCAGCUCAUUUCUUUUCUUCCUUUUAUAGCAGCUAUCUCCACUCCCUCCCACAAUUGCCUCAGUCCACUCCAGUCGGCUCUUUGACCUCAACUUUUUAUGGAAGCAACUCUUUCCAGAGUCACCGUUGACAACCAGCCCCACGUCCCAGAGCCAGCUCUCAGUGAGCCGCACGUGAUGGUAAUCCCUUUCUCCAAGGUGAAGCAUUCCAGGUCCACCCCUUGAGGCUUCUCCUCCUUCCCCACCACUCCUGCCCCUGUCGGGCUCCACCCCUCCCAUCUCUACCGGUGACACUGCUGCUUCCAGGCUCAGACCUUGGUCCCCUUCUCUUUUCCACCUUCACUCCAUCCCCAUACAUGUCAUUCAGUCUCACAGCUUUGAAUAUCAUCAACAGGCCCAACGACUCCCAAAUUUACCUUUCCACUCAUUCAUUCACUCAACAAACAUUUAUUAAAUCUCUACUGUAUACCAGGUGCUGUUCUAGGUGCUGGAGAUGCAUCUAUGAACAGAGCAGGCAAAGAUCCCUGCCCCUGACUGUGUGUUCUAGCAGGGAAGACAGGUGAUAGAAUCAACACAACAAAAAGUACCACUUAAGCCUACAUACAUGUACUAGCGGUAUGCAGAAGGCAGUAAGUGCUAUGGAAAAAAAUAAAUAGAUUGACUUGCAGGAAUCGAGGAUUGGUCCAAAGUUUGAGCAAACCUUGAGGCAGGCAAGAGAGUUAGACAAAUUGGGGUUUUUUUUCCUGAAUAAAAUGGGGAGUCACUGUCGGGUUUUGAACAGAGGAGUGACAUAGUCUUGCUUAGGAUUUAAAAGGAUCAUUCUGUUGCCUCUGUUAAGAAUAUACUCUUGGUGGUGGUGGUGUGUGUAGUGGGGAUGGGCAAAAAUUGAUGCUGGGAGACCAUUUGGAAGCUAGUGUGGUAGUCACAUGUUGGGAGCCACAGAGACGGCGGAAAGAUACCAAAUUCCAGAUGUGGUUUGCUGUAGGCUAAAGGAGUUUCCUGACAGACUGAAUGAGGCAUUUGAGGGUGGUCAGGGUGACUCCAAGGUUUUUGGCUUGAGCAACUAAAAAGAUGGAGUCACCACUGAUUGAGAUGGGCAGGCUUGGGGAGGUUCUCUGGGGACAGAUCAGGAAGUCAUUCUGGAUGUGUUGACACUAAGCUCCAAUUACACAUCCUGGGGACAUUCUGGGUAAACAGAAAGAUCCACGACUCUGGAAUUUGGGGGAGAACAGGGGCUGGGGAUGGAAGCAUGGCAGUCGUGGUAAUAGAGAUGGUGUUUAAAGCUCUUAGCCUGUGAGCUCACUCAGGGGUAAGUAUAGACAGAAAAGAAGGCUGGGAACUGAGCCCUGAGACACUCACCUCUGAGACCUGGAGGAGGAGAGGGGUCUCCAGCAAAGGAGAUUGAGGAGGGGAGAGGUGGGAGGUGAUGUGAGAGUGGAGAGCUGGAAGCCAAAUGAAGAGUGCCUUAAGGAGGUGGGGACAGAAACCAGCCGAAGAGCGAGGCCUGAGACUGACUGCACUCUGCAACACAGACACCCUUGGGACCCUGGGAAGGGAGCUUUCUGUGAGAAGUGGGUGCAGAAGCUGGACUGGAGUGGAUUUAGGAGAGGAUGAGAGGAACUAGGGGCUGUGAACAGAGGCAACUGCUUCAUGGUAUUCACCUGCAAAGGGGGAGUGACGAAAUGGAGGAAUAACUGGGGGAAAGCAGAGGUCAAGAGAAGCUUUUAUGUUGGGAAAAAUAAUAGCAUUGAGAUUUCCUGCAGGCCAGCACAAGCCAUACAGGCCUGCCUGCACAGAAGGCAGACACCUGCUUUGUCUUCUUGCAUAGAAGCCACUUCUAUGAGCUGUAAGUUUUCCCUGGCCCCCUGCGAGGUUUCAUGAUAGGAAAGAUAAGGGCAUCUUUGUAUCUGAUGGAAAUGAUUCAGAAGAGAGAAAAACAUAUGCUGAUGUAGGAAAGUGAGGAGAGGAUUUCUAGGGUGAUGUUCCUGAGUAGCAGGGGGCCGUAGGUCCAGUGCGUAAAUGAGGAGAUCGGCUUUAGUUUGUGCCAACGUGGGAAGGCACUAAGUGCAGCUGUGCUGACAGGUGAGUGCAUAUACCAAUAUGUACGGAAAUGUGUGGGGGGCACCCAGGCUGGGAGUGGACCCUCGACACUUCUGAACAGGACAAUGGCUAUUUCAAAGCCACCAGCAGUUUUCUGCUCCUAAAGGUGGACCCUGGGAAACAGAGCUUUUCCUCUGGGGAAAUCAGAGCAGCACCUGGCCUCAAAUUAUGCAAAUCCAAAGCAGGUGUCUGCCUCCUGCACAGAGGCCAGGUGGAAGUCAUCCGAAGCCUAAAUUCUGACAUGUUCUACACACAUGUAAGUUGGUGUGUGUCUGUUGACUUGGUUACUUCUUUUAGGGAAAAGGUGAUUUUUCUGCUCAGUGUCUUCUAGGCCCUCCAGUCUGGAGAGGACUGCAGAAAGAAUGCAUAGGGAUAGCCCGUCCACCUCUGCUCUCCCAUAGCGGGCCACUGAGCUCUCUGGACUAGGCUUCCCACCUGUAGAUCAAAGCAACUUGACCACUUAUCUCCCAGAAAUAAUGAGCUCAGAAGGUAGGAAUGUUUGUUCCUAUCAUGUUCUAAUGAAAUGUAAUUCCCUGGGGACGGUGAGCAAGCCCCCUGUCCUGCAAGAGGAUUUGGAGUUUCUUCUCGGGAAGGUGGACAAUACCCUGUCUGUCAUUCCAAGGCCAGAAGUGACUGGGUAGGCAAGACAUCCCUGGGGUGAGAGGAACCUUCCUUUCUAUGGCCCUCCUGGUGGGGAGGCCUGGCCUCAAGUCAAGGAGAUGCGGAAAGCAGUCCCAGAGGGAUGGGGGAGGCAGACCAGGCACUAGAAAAAUGGAAGGAGGUGCCCUGGAAGAGAUGCUGAGAGCAGCCUACACUUGGACUUCACAAGACGCCACUGAGAGCAGCCUGCACUUUACACCUGGACUCCACAAGACACCACUGAGAGCAGCCUACACUCUACACUUGGACUUCACGAGACGCCACUGAGAGCAGCUUACACUUGGACUUCACAAGACGCCGCUUCUGUGCGCUUUUCCUUUGCUCCUCACCCUUUCAUACAGACUGCCACUCACCCUUGAAGACUUGGCUCAAAUGCUAUCUCCUCUAUGAAGUCCUCCCUGACCACCGCCCUCCAGUAAGACUCCAUCUACUGCGCCCUCACAGUCUUGAUGAAUCUCCCUCAAAGAGCCAGGCACUUCACUCUAUUCCUAUGAUUUGUUCCCCAGUCUAAUUCUCACCAUGAUAUAAGUUUAUUAUAGAGCCCAGAAGAGGACUUGGCCAUGAGGUAAGAGCUCAGACAGCAGAAAUAAGAGGGAAGACAAGAGAAGGAAAAAGCUGCGAGGGCUAGGCACCCACUUUACCUGCGUGACAGUAAUGUUUUCCAUCUGGAGAAAGUGUCCACCUGCAAUCCCUUCUCCAAGUGCUUCAGCUUGCCCUCAUCAGGAAGGAUGAAGAUGGCUGUGAUAUUUUUCUGGUAGGGUAUUUCCAGGAUGGUGCAAGAGAGCUUAUCGUCAUAGCCAACUUGGUAUAUGCCACUACGGAACAUCAUGGGCACCUUGACUGAACUGUUUUUCUCCAGAAAGAAAUCUUCCUCUUUAGUUACAUUUGGAUCAAACUCAUGUUUCCACCUGGCUUAGAUUGAAGAAAGACAAACAGACAUGUUAUCCCAAGGGAAAAAAGGUGACUAAAUCCAACUAACCAGUAGUCUCUCUCCACACAGAUUCAGGGUGAAAGGGGAUAUUCCGGGAUAUCAGGGAAGUCCUUGCCCUCAUGCCAUGUCCUGGAGAUUUCUGAUGAUAUGGGCUCAGGUGCAAUUAUUAGUUCCCAAAGAAGCCAGGACUAGACUGCCAAAUUAAGAGGGGAAAAGAAGACUACCAUAAGCUCAGGUUCCCCUAAGCCUGAGAAAGCCCACUGAUUAUGUCCUAACAGAGGGGACUGCAUUACAAUUAAUGAGGGCUAAUUGAGUCUGAUGUGAGUAGACUCUUCUUUAGCCAUCAAUCUGCCUGUGGAUUUUGAGAACCCUCAAUUUUUUAUAUUUAGUACCAUGUUCCUGACACUCCAGCAGUGAUUUUGUCUGGACUGAUGGGUGUUGGCCUCUGAUUCUCACCUAUUUUGGCCAACCUGUUUGUGUACAUGUGUUCUGUGUGGUGUUGGGGGAUAAAGUUGAAAUUGGAAACAUUCUUCCAUCUUUUUUUUCUGUCUCUCUCCAUCAGAUCUGGGAAAUAUAUAAAGUCUGAUAAGGAGAAUUUAUAUAAUACAUACAUAAGGAGACCCACCAAGUGAUCACCAUCACCAUAAUCAACACAAUCACCAUCUCAGGUGUCUGCUUAAAGUGCUGGAAAGCACACAGUGCUAGGGCCAGGAGAAAUGUGUUCCAGUCCUGACUGUCAAUGAUGGGCUUUGUAACUUGGAGUAAGUCAGUUAAUCUCACUCUGAUUUUUUUUUCUCAUCUAAGUGAUGGGAACAAAAUGUCAUUCCAACCUCUAUAACCAAUGUUGUGUUAGGAUAAUCACCAAUAAUGAAAAUGAUAGACUUCAUAAAGCUCAUUUCACAUACAUUUUCACUUUAAAUCUCAAUAACUGUAUGAGUUAUGUAUCAUGGUAACCAUUUUACAGAUAGGAAAAGUGAGGUUUUGAGAGAUAAAUCACAUAUGAAUUCAAGGUCACAGAGUAAACAAGUGGCCAACCCAGGUUUUUAACCCAAGUCUAGUGGUCAUCCUAUUCUUUCCACACCAACAUGCCAAAAGCCUUACCUCGAAAGAAAAUAUAAUUUGCAAGAAGCAUCACAGUGCCGGGGUCUAUAUUCUCGAUCAGGUUGUUAAUUUUCCCAUGGGUUUUUUGACUGAUAAAGUCAUUGAUCUGCUUCUGAGCCAUUUCCAAAUUCUGAAAGUUGGUAAGGAUGGUUUCGGCACUGUAAAAGUUCUUGGCAUCUUCCAAAAACUUACGCUGUGGCUGCAGCCUCUGGUCAAUGAACAGCGUGUUCCCAAUGCUCAGUUUGAGGUCCUGGGUCUUCUGGGUCAGCUCGUGGAUGAUGUAAUGGAAGCCCUCAUGAAGAUCUUUUUCUGGCAUCUUUCUGAAGUUGAACCCCUGCUUGAUCUCGUCCAGGGUGCUGUCCUGGGCACCCAGGCACAGCAUGGAGAAAGCUGUAGAGAUGCUCAAGGGGGAUAGGAAGAUGUUCCUGCCAGGGUUGUAAAAGGCCAGCUUCUUGAGCAGCUUAAAGCCUAAGUCCAUGUUCUGCCUUGCAAGCUCCUUGGCUGCCAUCCUUUGCUUCCAUCCUUGGACCUCGCUCAAAGCUUUAUAAUUCCUUGGUGAGAAGCUCGGCUUUAGAAGACCUUUCACCGUGAGGAGAACAGCCAGAAAAAUGGCCAGGCCUAGUGUGGGGUUCAUUUUCCUUGAAGAAUAUCCUGUUGAGUAGUAGACCUGAGGUCAGCAGAAAAAAAGAACAUGAUAACCCCAUUGCCUACAUGUUACCCAGAGGAAGACCAGAUGAAAGAAGAAAUACAGUGACUAUUAUGUGUUGUACAUAGCAGUUUAUGAGUGCUUUGACCCCUUUAUAGCAUUUAAACUUUAUAAUCACCCUGGGGACUAGAAAUGACUUCUACACUUUGUAAAUAGGAGGACUGAAUGUAGAAGACAACUCUUGUUUUUGUACCCUCUUUAUGGAAACAGUGUCUCAAUUCCUUUGAGGAACAGCUCUCCUUCCCUCCAUUGGACCACAGUGAGGAUACCCCGUAGUGUAGGCAUAUGGCCCAGACCUACCAUCAUAAUACUUCAUUCCUUUGCCACACUGGCUGGUUAAAGAUGAGAGUGUGGACCAAAAUCAGACCUCUCAGUGUCUUUCUAAGGGAAUGCAAAACCCCCUAAGCUUUGGGGCAGCUAGCUUUGUGAAGUAGCCCUGGAGCUGAAUGUGGCCAUGGUUUCCACAUGUAGAAGGAGAGGAGAGUGAUAGAGGGAGGUGGAAAGACAGAAAUGGACUGACACAUCUGAUGACAUCUUUGGAGACCCUGGACUAACCUUUAACUCAGUUUGCUACCCACUUCCAUGUUUCCAAGUUAUGAAAGCCAAUAAAUUUCCCUUUUAGAGUUGGCUGGUUUGAGGUAAAUUUUUCCCCUUCAGCCAAAAGAAUUAUGACUAAUUUACAGAGAUCAAGCUCUUUGUUUAAGCUCAUAUGUUCUCUAGGUGGUGGAUACUCAUUCCAGGAGGACUUAGAUCUCCAGGAAACCUUCUUCCCUACACCCUUCCCAGGGAGGGAAGAGGAUGGCACCAUGGGAGAGGAACAGCCAGGUCUGCCUGGCUCUGGACUGCUGCUCCUUUCAUCCACCUCUCAGCUUUGACAUCUUCCAACGGCCACUGUGAGCUUCUGGGAGACAAGACUUUUAGCUACGUUUUCCCUUAAUCUCCAGCCCUAAUUCUGCAGAGAGAUGCUAAAAGCAUGUUGGCCUAAAAAGCUUAUUGAUUUCUCUGGUUGGACAUACUACUGUCAGUGAUGGUCACACCCAUUUAUAUGUAAAACGAAGGCAGAUUUCUUUGCUUGGUCAUCUGUUAUAUCAUUUAGUCUGCUUUCUUCCUGUAAUUUAUAUCUUACAUGUCUGUAAUCUGUGGGUAAUAGUCAGCCUGUCCACAGUAAAGGUUUUUCAUGGUUGUCUUAGAUUGGGUUCCCUAGAAGCAGAACCUGAGAUGGGGAUUUAGGUGCAUGUUAUGUAUUGAGGCAGUUGUCUUCCCUGUAGGGAAGUGAGGGAAGUGGGAUGGAAAAGGGAAGGAGCCAAGGUGACAUCUAGCCUUGGCCUGGUCCACAGUGGGAGGGCUCUCCAGGCUGGCCUUUUGGAUAGAAUCGGUCAGUUGGUGGCUGUGAUCUGUCCUCUGGAUGCAGGUCAUGGUGCAUAACUGGGUCAGUUAGGUCUUAUCAGCCAAGGACAAUUUUCUGGAGAGGGGAGGGCAGUUGUGAGCUGUCAGCAGGCAACCCUCACAGCAGCACCAGCAAAAGGGAACUGGGUCAGCCACCAACGGGGUCUGCACAGCUAAACUCCCAUGCCUGGCUCUUUCUGGUUGGCUGAAUAAGCAGAUGAAUGAACACCAGGCAGGGCCUGUACCUAGGAGUGUCCCCAGUUCCCAGGUUCUUCAUGUCCAAAUCCUUCUACGCCAAGCACUGUGGAUAGAGCCUUGAUCACAACAAAGGUCUUCAAGGAGUUUGUAGUAUAGUAUUGGAAAAUUCUAGUGAAUACUGCUCAUUGCUCCUUCAGCAUCCAUUCUCCCAGCUUCCCAAUAGAUCCUCUUCUUCUUUCUUCUCCUCUUCCCCUCCUCGCCUUCUUCUCCUCUUAUCCUCUUCUCCUCAUCUUCUCUUUCUUUUUCUUCUUUUCAAUAAUAUACUCUUCUCUCAGGCAGCCCAUGUGCCUCAGGGACACAAGCCCCUCCCAGCUCCAAGGGAGGGCCUGAUUGGUGCAGGGGCAUCUCAACUCUCCUGCUACUGGUUGGUUCAGGAGCCAGACCUAAUCCAAUCAGUGCAGGCGGGAAUUUCUGCCCUGAUCCUUGUUUAGGGAGGGGCAUGUGGCUUAAGGGGUGCAAUGAGGGAGGAUUUCAAGACUGUUUGUUGGAAUGUUGGGGUGCUGGCCUGUCUCUUUCCUGGGAUGUCCUGGGCAGGAAGGCACGGCAGGCAGGGACUAACAGCAACUUUGCCCCGUGAGGGAAGUGACUCUAAGACAAAGCCAUAGCACAAAGAGGAUGCAUCCAAGGGCUCUUAAGAGAAACCGGGGCUGGGUCCAUGGAAAAAGCUGAACCCAGAGCCCACCUUGCCUCUGGACCCCCAGUGACGUUGAGUUACAUGGUCACUUCCUUGAAGCCAAAAACAUCCUCACAAAUACGGGCAGAUACAUAUUUUUUAAAACGCCAGGACUACUAAGUAGGCAGGAGUUCUGUGCUCUGCUCUCAUGCCUUCGUAGCUGUGUGACAUUCCAGAAAGCACUUCCCUCUCUGAACCUGGGUGCUCUCUAAGCACCUUCUACCCCCAAAAACCACUUCUUGGUAAAACUUAAUAACAGCUGGUGAUGAACAAGGGCUCUAUGGGCUGCUGAAAACAGAUUGUAGAAGAGAAAUUAGUAAAAUUCCCAAGAAUGCUUCAGAUAAACAAAAGAAAAUAGGAAGGAGUCCAUUUCAGGGUUUAGGGGGCUGCACUGUUUACAAAGGCUGCCUGGAUUAAAAAUAGAAGCUUCUGCUAUUCAGAGUGGGCGCAAGUUCCCAGUGCCUAGGAGUGGAGAAGUUAAGACAUGUCCCUUGAGCUGAGAAAACAUUCUCAGCAGCGGUGAAACCAGCAGCCUGGCAGGAGCCUUGGAGGAGGCCGGGCAGGGCAGGGCUGGAGCAGGGAAGGAACCCACAGAAAGCACCAUCCUGGGAACACUCUGUGGCACGCACAGCUUUACAGUGAUGUUCAGUCACUGAUCCCUAAACAUUGUCAAGUUUCAGAAACAAGAACGGAUUAUGGAAUUCCAGGUCUGGAUAGCGGUCCUCCCCAACUUGUGUGUUUGUUAGGUGUUUUGAUGCAAGUCUCUUCACCCUUCAGGCUUUCAGUAUCUUCAUCUAUUAAAUGAGGGGGAGGUGGUGAUAAUUUGGUUUCUUCCCCCAUGAGAUACUGCUGAUCAGGUGGCACUGCCACCACCUCCCCGCCCCCCCACCCCCGCCCCAAGGGACACAGCCCACACCCUGGCCUGGUGGGGUCUCAGCACCCUCCCACCUCAGCAUGCCUGUGUCACAGCAGUCUCCACCGGGCCUCCUGCCCUGGCUCCCUGAGUGCGAACAUCUGGCCUUUCUCCCCCAAACAGCCAACACCAGCCCCAUUCCGGGCCUUUCCAUCUGUCAUCACGGGCUUUAAACUGACCCAAAUUUGUCAGUUGGGUUAGAUGCCUGAGUAGGCUAAUUUUUUAAUUCCAUCAAUUAAAAUAGCUGAGCAACUGGUUAUUUCCCAAUCAAUUGAUAGGUUGCUCUCCUGAGUUGAGCAAUUGUUUGUUGGCUUUUAGUUUGGAAUGUGUGUGUGUGUGUGUGUGUGUGUGUGUAUCUGUGUGUGUUUGGCUGUGACUCAAAAUAAAUAAAGAGAUAAAACUAAAACAAAACCAAGAAAAAAAAAAGAACAAGAUAGAAACCGAACCCCAUGGGGUACACAUGGGACACAUGAAGCUAUAGUCAGUAUUUCAAUUCUCUGAUCAUCCUGCUCCCAUGUUCCCUAUUAAUUUGGAAAAAUAAUUUCCUCCUCUUAUGACUAGAUAAAAUAGUGCCUCACUGACCCGGAAGUCAUUCAUCCUAAAGACAGAUCCAAACCAGAUGGGAAGCGUCCGCACAGGUAGCAUAGGCGGCUUAAGUCUACACGAGAAGGGGUUUCCCUGUGGGAGGGCACUGCUUCCACCUCCCACACCGUCCCGAUCAGCCAACUGAAGCAACAGUGAGCUGUGACAGCAGACUCAACAAUAAUAAUAUUUCUAAUUUUACAAAGCGCUUCCCCCGUUAUCACCACAGUUUGAAGAAAUGAUACCUAAACAGGGAUAACACACACAGGCUACAGAAGGUCUACUCAGUGCACAGUGGUUUGGAACCACAGUUUUCUUUAGAGAGAACUCCCCCUGCCCCCAGGCAGGUCACUCCUCUCCUGAUAGUUGACCACCCUACCUCUCUUCCCUGGGAUGAAACUGACUGGCUAGAAAGAGUUGAUGUAAUAUCCUUCCUCAAGCCAAUGAGACCAAAAAGUUUAGAAUGCUUUGGACAAGUUCCCAUGUCUUGAGAACCAACAGAGCGAGCUUCAGGCAACCAGUGUGUUGCCUCCUCAUCGGGGAGAUGCUUCCUACACUUGGCUGCAUGCACCAGACACCCCUUCCUGCCCCAGAAACCCCUUCCUGCCCCAGGAACCCCAGGCCCUCUGAGAUGCCACCUUUCCUCAGAACCUUUUCUGAGCGCCUCUUGGAAUGUGCAGCACUUGGGUAAACCCGGUGCCCUUCUUUGGGCUGAGAAAUCUGAGGAAUCCUUGCUAAAGGUGUGCCUUGGCCUCCCAACAGAAGACCCUCACAAGAGCCCUGCACUUGAAGAGCCACUUCAGGCCUGCUCUGUGGCUCACCUGUUUUAAAGGACUGAUAUUGCUUUAAGAAGAAAUCACUCUAUAUACAUCAGAAAUUAAAUUAUUAUUUUUAAAAGCACAUUUAGAACUAAGUGGUGGUAAGACAUAUCUUCUCUCCCCUGUUAGAAGUAAGAGAAGCCCCAUAAACAAACUCUGAUGACCACAGCAAUAUACUUUCUCCUCCUUUCUGGAAAACAAAGAGUGGAGAACAUGUCCCCAUUCCACUUGUUAAUUUGCCCUGUAGAUUUCUGCCUUCAUUCCUUAAGAAAUAUGUUUGAGUCCUCACUCUGUGUCAGGCACUGGGGCACUAGAGCAAUGCCCAGGAAAUGGUCCAUAUUGAUGCUGCAGACUGACUCUCAGCCCAACAAGCCCCACAGCCUUCUCCAAACCCUCAAGAACCUUCCAGCUGUUUGCCUGACCUGGUCCUCCUCCCCUUCCGUGACUGCAUUCUAGGAGGAGGGGUAUGUGGGUUGGAAAGGCUGAGAGAUCAUUGACUUCAGGACUAUCUGUGCCAUAAAGAGGGAAAUGAGGCCCAGAGUGGACAAAGGAAGAGAUUGUGGUUGCAGUGUGCAUCAGUGGUGAAGGCAAUUCUGCAGAAAUGCAUUGAACAGGCUGCUUCGCCUCACUUUCUCCAUGAACCAGUGAGUUGAUGGAUCCAGCCUCUAUCCUCAGAGAGAGAUAAAGAUUCACAAACAGCUCACACACAAGGAUGACUGUGGCCAGCAUCAUGCAGCAGGGGUGGACCCAAAUUGGAGGCACCACUUAUGUCCCAAGACUUCUCCCAUCCCCACAUUCAUGAAGCUUCUCUCUCUAGAAAAGCACUGGGCAGUAGACAUCCAUAACACUCUGCCAAAGAUGUUCAACAAAUUCUUCAAGAGGGGUUUACCUGGAUUUUGGAGAUCCUCUAGAAUUUUCCUUUCAUACACCCACCUGUGGACAGUGCUACAUCCUCCCUCGAUCUGAAGCAAGCUUCGUGUGGAAUAGACAAGAAGCACCGGAUCUUUUGGAAGGGAAGGUCUCAUACUCACAGUACAUUCAGAAGUCCACUGAGCCAGCCAAAUGCAUCUGCCUUUCUUGCUUUAUUAUUUAUACUUCCAUGGCCUCUUGGAAGAGUAAGGCCAAUACAAUGAGCUGGCGUGUAUGGGCAGGUGAUGGAGGCUUUGGAAGCAAUGGCCACACCACCUCCCUGGGAGCUCUCCCUGUGGAGGCAGCGGCAUGAUAUCGUACCGGCCACACCCACUGGGCUGUGGCUUCCCUAAUGAAGUCCACUAGACACCUUUUGCAACGACUCUAUUUCCCAGUUGCUCUCUGGGUAUGGAAGCCAGAAUAGUCUACAAGUAGAUGAGCCUAGAGUCCUAAUACUGAAUAUUCAACCCAAGUAUCAUCAUUGCUGCCCAUGGGAACAGGUUGAUAACUGGGCUUCUUGGGGUCAUUCCCAUGUAUCCCUCACCAUUUUCUUUUGCUAUUUUUUCAUGUGUUCCAAAUUAGCUUAGCUCACAUGGAGUCCUUUGGGGAAAAAGUUCGAGGACAGACAAAUAGACAACUAAAUGCGUAGAUUCCGUUAGGAAGAACAGGAAUUAAAAAUUCACCUCAAAGUUCAUGAUCAUGGAAAUUACAAAUUGUUUUCCUAUUGCACAUUUGUUGUGCUGGAGUGGUGAGACUAUGGUUGGGUUCUCUUGUGCUGGGGUGAUGAGACUAUGGCUGAACUCUGUUGUCUCUGCCUCCCCCUUACUUUUCUAUAUUUUCCAAAUUGUCUUUAAAAAACAGAUAUUACUUUAGGAUUAAUUUUUCAAAGGCUUAAAAUAAAAUAAAAUAAAAUUCUUAUCUUCAGUUUUACCACUUGGAGAGAGAAGCAUUGAAGAUGUCUGGGAACAUUCCAAACCCACUGAUGCUGGGAUGGAAGAGCAAUAAGCUCAACAUGCCUAUCUUCAAUUCUGCUUAAUCUAAUGAGCUCCAGUGAGCAGAAAAAACAUUCACAUAUUUCUUCCCCAUUGAGUGGUGUUUCACAGUAGGUCGUAUCUGAUCGAAACACCUCGGAGGCCUCGGAAGAGCCAUGGGUGUUGUUUUCCCUUCCUUUGGGUUGCUGCUUUUAGCAAAGACAUGACUCUCAUUCCCAGAGCUAUUCAGAGCAGGUGACCCAGACAAACCUUCUUGGAAAGAGGAGACACUAGUUCAUUCCCAGGCCUGGUUCAGCCACAGACUCUAUGCACUCAGGGCCUAGAUGAACAAGGACAUGGGGAUAUGGGUUCCAGAGCUGCCCAGAUCAGAAACCACCCCUGAAGAUGCCCCUGAGCCACCACCUUCCCUCGCCCAGGCAGCAAGGCCUGCCUGCUGGGAUGCAUGGGUCAAAGACACCAUGUGAACGGCGAGAUGAGAGACUUCACACUGGCCGGCUCUGGUCACCAAGGGGUUGCAGAGGAGACAGAAGGACAGGCUGAGACCAAGGAGUACAGGUGGUCCUAUUGUGACUGUAGAGGCUAUAGUGGUGGAAGAUCAGAGCCAGUGAGGUGGACACUGACCCAGAAUCCAGGUCUGUACAUCUGGUUUGGGAGGGAAAACCUGCCCUCUAAUGACAGGGUGAGGCCUGUGUGAGUCUGAGGGCCAUGCCUCCCUGCCUGCCCCAGACACUCUCUGCUCCAGGGUAAAUUUCCACGGGAGACAUGCAGGAAGAGGCCAGGGUAGGGAUGCCCACUGAGCGACACGGGCAGCACUGGGGAUGCCUGAGUUCAGACAGUGCCAGAGGCCAGUAGGCCAUGGGCAGAGGGUAGCCACAGGUGGGCUGCCGGCCAGCCAGGCGCUACACCUGGGUUGGGAGUUGCCUGUCCUGCCUGGGGAAAAGAGCCCCGGAGGAGGUGCACGUCUGUGGAGAGCAGUGAAGGAUAUAGGCAUGGGAGGGAGCAGCCCCCUUCACGUGCCCAUUAAGGGACCUCAGCCUAGACUUGAGGCUGCCCCGACUGCCUGUAGUUAAGAUUCAGGUCCCAUGGAUUUGUGCCUGGUGUUCAUCAGGGGCUAGAAGGAUGAAGGAGAUUGUCCAGCCUGGGAAGAUUAUUGUUAUAAGUUAAUGGGCCUAAGGCACUGGUCGGAGGCUGAGGGGUGGCCUGAAUAUUUUUUACAUUAUUGCCAUGUGUAGGGGUGAGAGGGGAGCUAGGAAUUUCUGGUCCUCAUCCUCACUCUUUGGAUCUCCCAGAUGGAAGAAACAUGUUAGUGACCAUGCCACACCCUAACUCCAAGAGCUCUGGUCUGAUGGGAACACAGAACACAGAGAUACAAGUCACACUAGGUAAGGGCCAAGGUAGAGGUAACUCUGGGAGGUGAGAACACACAAGAGGCACCUGAUCCUAGCUGGGGUGCUCUGGACUGUGUCAUAGAUGGGGCACUCUUAAGCUGGGUUUUGAAGGAUAAGUAGGUGUUCUCUAGGAGAAAACUGAGAGCAAGAGAAGUAUAUCAAGGAUUUUGCAUCCUGGAGAAAGUGAGUGAACAAUCUAAUGCCUCCAGAAAUUGUAUAUGUGACUUUGGGCUUCUGGUUCUUUAAUUGCAAAAUGGGAAUAACCUAUUUCUAAAGCAGUUGUUUCCAUCCUGGGAGUGCAUUACAAUCAUCCAGGAGCUUUAGAAAUACCUAUUUUCAGAACAUUCCUCUAGAGAUUUUGAGUUAGUUGAUGCAGGAUAAAUCCUGGGUGAGGGUGCCUUUAAGAACUUCUCUCCAGGGGAUUUAAUGAGUACUCAAGGUUGAGAAUCCCACUCCAAAGCAAGUGAUUCCCACCUGAUGAUUCCCAGGUCUUUUAAAGCAUUCAGCCACCAGGUAUCAAGAUGGCUGUAAAGCCACAGUAUUAAGGUAUUGGAACAGAGACAGACAAGCUGACCAAUGGAACAGACUAGAGAAUCCAACAGAGCCACACAGGAAGUCACCUGAUAUGUGACAAGGGCAUCGCUACAGUUCAAAGGAAAGGAUGAUCCUUUCAAUGAAUGAUGAAAACAACAACAACAACAACAAAACACCAGUGGAUGUCCAUACAGGAAAAAUAUAAAUAGUGACUAUUUUACUCAACAUACAAAAAUUAAUUUGAGAAGUCACAGACCUAAAUGUGAAAGGUAUUAGAUUGGACUAUAUGAAACUAUUGGUCUUUAAUAUUUUUUAACCUCAAAACCCACAAGAAUCAAAAUGAUAAAGCUUCUAGAAGAAAAUAUAUUAAUAGUAGACAAUCUUUGUGACCAUGAGAUAGGCAGAAAGUAUUAACCAUUUUUACAAAAUGAUAAAUGGAACUUCAUUAACAUUAAGAGCCUUGUUCCUCUAAAAUUACCUAGGACAGUACAAAGGCAAGUCACAAGCUGGGAGUGGUACGUGUAAUGUCUGUGUCUGAUAAAAGGCUCAUGCCUGUUUUUAAGCACUUCUACAAAUCGACUGAAAAAAGACAACAACUUAAAAACUAAGCAAAGACAUGAACAAAUACUUCACAAAAGAAGAUAUCCAAAUGGCCAAUAAGCAGCUGAAAAGGUGCUCGACAUCAUUAAUCAUCAGAAACAUGCAAAACAAAACUACAAGAAGAACUCACUACACACCCACUAGAAUAGCUCAGAUUAAAAGGACCAGCCACACGAGGACGUGGAGCAAGUGGAACUCUCUUAUAUUGCGGGUGGGUGUGCAAACCGACACCAACGUGUUGAUUGGAAAAUUGCUUGGCAGGAUCUAUAAAAGGUAAACAUAUGCUUACCCUUUGACCCAUUCAUUGUACCUCAGGGUAUAUGCCCAACAGGAAAUGAGUGCUUGUGGGUUUACCAAGACAUGUACUGCAAUGUCCAUAGCAGCUUUAUGUGAUAGACCUAAAGUGGAAACAACCCAGAUGUCCAUUUAUAGUAGAGAAGGGAGAGAGAGAAAGAGAUUCCUGGCCACCAUCCCAGAUCAUACUUUGCAUUUCCCUGGGUGUCCCCACUCUUCUUUGGUUUCCACAGGAUCCCCAGUUGAUGCUUGUGACAGACAGCUAUGGGAGCCAGUGACCAAGAGUGUGAAACACUGCAAAGCCCAAAUCCCACUAGAACAAAUUAUACUGUACCUCCAAGCAAUAAGGCAAAGACUGAGUAAAUGCAAUGUAUUUUCAGUCAUUGAAUUCAACUCCAAUUGGGGAGCUUAAUCAAUAAAUGAUUUAAAAUUAAUAAUAAUUGAUUUUGAAAGAAAAUAUUUUUAAGCAAUCUCCGGUAAGAUCC